UAUACAACUUUCAGCAACGGAUCUCUUGGCUCUCGCAUCGAUGAAGAACGCAGCGAAAUGCGAUAAGUAAUGUGAAUUGCAGAAUUCAGUGAAUCAUCGAAUCUUUGAACGCACCUUGCGCUCCUUGGUAUUCCGAGGAGCAUGCCUGUUUGAGUGUCAUCAAAUUCUCA
rnacentral:rRNA from 1 species